rnacentral:rRNA from 1 species
UACGUAGGGUGCAGGCGUUAAUCGGAAUUACUGGGCGUAAAGCGUGCGCAGGCGGUUUGCUAAGACCGGUGUGAAAUCCCCGGGCUUAACCUGGGAACUGCGCUUGUUACUGGCAGGCUUGAGUGUGGCAGAGGGGGGUGGAAUUCCACGUGUAGCAGUGAAAUGCGUAGAGAUCAGCAGGAACACCCGUGGCGAAGGCGGCCCCCUGGGCCGUACCUGACGCUGAGGCGCGAAGGCUAGGGGAGCGAACGGG